UACGUAGGGCGCAAGCGUUGUCCGGAAUUAUUGGGCGUAAAGAGCUCGUAGGCGGUUUGUCGCGUCUGCUGUGAAAACUCAGGGCUUAACCCUGAGCUUGCAGUGGGUACGGGCAGACUAGAGUGCGGUAGGGGAGACUGGAAUUCCUGGUGUAGCGGUGAAAUGCGCAGAUAUCAGGAGGAACACCGAUGGCGAAGGCAGGUCUCUGGGCAUUAACUGACGCUGAGGAGCGAAAGCAUGGGGAGCGAACAGG
rnacentral:rRNA from 1 species